rnacentral:rRNA from 1 species
UACGGGGGGAGCAAGCGUUGUUCGGAUUUACUGGGCGUAAAGGGCGCGUAGGCGGUCGUGACAAGUCACUUGUGAAAUCUCCGGGCUUAACUCGGAACGGUCAAGUGAUACUGUCGGACUAGAGUACAGAAGGGGCAACUGGAAUUCUCGGUGUAGCGGUGAAAUGCGUAGAUAUCGUCUGGAACGCCAAAGGUGAAAACAGGUCGCUGGGGCUGAGCUGACGCUGAGACACGAAAGCCAGGGGAGCGAACGGG